UCUAGAAUUUAAGUGAUGCUCCAGGGGGAGAUGUUUGCCUCGCAGUAAGCCGGCGGGGCUGGGAGGGUGGGAAGUUGGCCCGAUCCCUGGCAUUUGCGGAGUUCACUUCUCCUGGUUGAAGCUAGGGGUAGCACUGUGGCACGAGUGGCUAUGUUGUUUAUGAUGGAAAGUUCUGUGGGAAGAAGGAGCCCAGGUGCACACCCUCCUCCAGCCAGACUGCCGUCUGAAGCGUCCAAGAGAUGGAUUUUCCCUGGACGCCCUGCUUCCUGCCUGUCACAGCUGGGGUAACAGUACAGGCAGACAAGCAGCUCCUCCUUAGAAAAUGAAGGCUGAACCACUAUAAUACUUAAAUGUUUAACAUUCGCGUCCAGGGAGCAUGCUGGCUUGGCGAUUUCAUUCGAAGGUGUUUCGGAUUCUGUGAAUCAAGAAGAAAACUUGAAGGUCAGAGCAGGUGCCUGGCUUGUCUGGCUGGUUGCCACCGUCCUAAGGCUCAGUUUGGGAACCCGUCUGAUUGAACUUCCUGCGUGGACCAUCUGUGGCAGAUGAAGUGAAGAACUUUCCUGGGCUUGCCCCUCCCUCUUCCAGCCCCCCACGCCCACCCUGCACCGCAGCCCGUGUACAUGCGAGUGAAAUCUGCGCUUUAGGUGAACAGCUGCUCCACCUCCUUCAAUAAAACUCAUAUAAAUUAAGACCAGGUUGAGAUCCCAGAUUCCGCCUGUCAGACGAGCGAUAACCCCCACACCUGAAACCAUCUGUGGGCCAGAGUAUCCAUCAGUUACCGCUCUUAUUGGGGCAGCGCCGGCCAGGGUUUGGUGGGUGUGGAUCCAUCGCUUGCCCUGCGCCCGCCGCGGGGCUCACCUCGGGCGCAGUUUGGCCGAUGGGAGGCGCCGUUGGGUGACCUGAUGGCAGGAGCUCAGGGAGGCUCCAGGUUAUCAUCCGCCCCCUCCUUCUGCCUCCGGCCGGCCAUGUGUCUAGCCGGCUGAUCUGCUUUUGGCUCCAGCUCCUGCCUGUUGACCCAGUCCCUGAGCUUUGGAAAGCCAUCCUUCCUCUGACCCUCCAGUGUAGAGAUGGUGGCUGCUUGUUCCUCUUGCUAUCUCUGCAUCGUCUCACUAUUUCCUGUAUGAUCCUUGGCUUCUCUAUCACACGUGUAACCACCCCCCUGUUUUAAAUUCCCUCUCCUUCAGAUCCUUAGAGGUUUUCUCUGGGUGGGCCCAAAAGAGAUGCAGCAGCUUGGCACUGUGGUGAAGAACCUGCCUGCCAGUACAGGAGAUGCAGGUUCAAUCCCCGGGUCAGGAAAACCCCCUGGAGGAGGAAAUGGCAACCCACUCCAGUAUUUUUGCCUGGAGAAUCCCAUGGACAGAGGAGCCUGGAGGGCUACAGCCCAUGGGGUCACAAAGAAUCAGACACGACUGAGCCACUGAGCGUGCACACACACAUAUCCUUUGAGGCAGCAAUGCUAGUUCGGGAAUUUAACAUGUAUUUUUACAUGUGUGAGAUACAAGAUUAUUCACUGUGUGGUUUGUAAUAGUAAAAGAUAGGGAAUAACCUGAGUGUGUGUUGCAGGUUAUAUACCCAGAUGGCAAGUGAAGAUGUGAGGUUGUAGAAAGGAAUCAGGAGGCUCCUUAGGAACUGAUGGGCAACGACUUCCAAACCUUUUACUAAGUUAUAAAAGCAAAUUGUAAGCAAAUGUGCAUUGUUUGUUACCAUUUCCGUUUUCAAAAAGGGGGCAAAAAGGAAGUGUUUGCAUGAAAAUUCUCAGGAAGGCUCAACAAGGAACUAACUCAUAGCAGUGGUUACCUGGUGGGAGGCUGAUGGAGGCAGGGAAACUGAAAGCUCUCUCUUUGCCUGUUUAGUUUUUGGUGUUCAAAAAAAGUCUUGUCCAUCUCCAUUGUUUCCCAAACUGGAAACUAGUUUCACAGAAAAAUAGUACACUGGUAAGGAAACACCCUUUGUUGAGAGAAAUUUUGAAGUUGAAACAUAGUUGACUUACAGUGCUACAUUAGUUUCGGGUGUACCACAUAACGCUUCAGUAUUUUGUCGAGUUUUGCUAUAUUAAAAUGUCAGGAUAGCAUGUAGAAAGUUGUGGAAUACAUUACUUGUUUUCAGCCUAUGCAUAAGAAAUUAACCACUUUCUUUUGAAUGCUUCAAAAGUGGCUCGAUGGGUGCUUUCAGAGUACUCUUUUCUAGAACAGUUAUUCAGCAGACAUCGAUACUGUCCCUGCCAAAUGCCCGGUCCUGUGCGAAAGGGUGAAUAUGAUGAAUAAAGCAGCUGAAUUUCCUGCAUUCCUCGGACUUUUGUUUAGAUGGGAGACUGAUGAAAAAUGUAAACAGAUGUAUCAAGUCCUUGCAGAUUAUGCUGAUGUGUGAAGAGAGGUUGGGGGUGAGUGGGGUGGGUGGGGUGGGGGCAGGUGGCCUCUGGGGAGAAAACUCUUUCAGGGGUGGCCUGAAGGGGUCCAGGGCCUGGCCAGCAGAUGGCCCAAAGCUCCCCUGUGUGGUGUGAGCAGAGAGGGAACUGGACGUGUCCGGCAGUUUGAGUAGGUAAGGAAUUCACAUUUUAUUCAAGGUGCAUAAAGCCGACGAAGGGUUUCAACCUGGGGAAUGACAUUUGAUUUAUGUUUAAAUAAUUGUAGCUAAUGUUUACAGAAUGGCCUCUGUGUCCGGUUCUGCCCCGCCUGCCUUACGGAUCUUAACCUAUUUACUUUGAGCGAUAAACCUGGUAGGGACUUACCGUCAGCACCGUUUAUGGAUGAAAAGGGAAGCCGUGGAGGCACAGGGAAGCCAGGUAACCUGGUUCAGGCUCCACAGCUAGCAAGUGGUGGAGCCGGGCCUCGAACCCUGGUGUGCUGGCUCCAGAGGCCUUGCCCUUAACCGCUGGACACCCUGCCCUGUGCCGGAGGGGAGGAGGGAUGGCGAGGACCAGGGCCCGGCCCCAGGGUGAGGCGGAUGGAGCGGCAGAAGUGAAGGCAAAGCACAGAAAGCAGUGAAACUCUCGUGUUCCCAUUACCCAGGGUUCAUAUAGUAGCUGUUCCAUGUUCUGUCGCCUGAUUUCAGGUCUUUACAAAAAACAAGGAUGGCAUUUCAGACGCGUGUCUCACCUCUGUGCCUGGCAGCGUCGUGCCUCCAUUGCUCAGGCGGGGUCCCCUUCUGCUGCCUUAGCCCUCCCUUAGUGCUCCGUUCUCCCUGAUGCUGUCCUUGGCUUCCGGCAGCCAGAGGUCGUGUUGCUCCUCUCCACGUCCACGCUGUCCUCGGUUAUCCCAGAGCCCUUUGCUGCCUGCAUCCAGGACCUGCGGUCUGGGGUGCCUGAGCCUUCGGCGGGGGGCUGCACACUUUUCCUCCAAGAGGCCGGACAGGAGGCAUUUGCAGCUGUGUGCACCACACACGGGCUUUUGCGAACUUUCCUUGGUAGCCCAGGUGGUGGUUGUCGUGUCUGCCUCUCUUUGGUGCCAUAGACUGUAGCCCGCCAGGCUCCUCUGUCUGUGGGAUUUCCCAGGCAGGAAUAAUGGAGUGGAUUGGCUGUUCCCUUCUCCAGGGGAUCUUUCCUACCCAGGGAUCGAACCUGCAUCUCUGCCUGACAGGCGAUUUUUUACCACUGAGUCACCUGGGAAUUACUGAUAACCCUUUAAAAACAUGAAGACCACUCUUAUCUCGGCCUGUCCUUGCCCUCUCUCCUCCGUUGACGGGUCCCCUCACCUGUGUCCCCUUGCCGGUCUCCUUGCUGUUCCGUGAACCUACCGAGCGCCCCCAGCCCCUGCUUUUCCCGUAGCAGUCUCCCCUUGGAUGGCUGGGCACGCCCUGGCUUCCUUUCUUCCGGCUUCUGUUCCUGUGUCUCCUUUCCGCAGAGGUCUUCCUCCACCCGCCUGUCAUAAGCAGCAUCUCACUGUCCCCUUUCCCAGCCUUCUUUUUUCUGCUUGGCCUUUAUCACUCCUCACCUGCUCCUGUCCCGUUCAUGGCUGGUGUCUUCUUUCUCAGAAUGUGAGUUCUGUGAACGCAGGACUGUGGUCUGCUUUUACCCGCCACUGUGUCUCCAAGACCCGGGCCGCUGUGUGUAACAGGCCACCAGUAAAUACUUGUUCGUAAACUGAGCGAGUGGAACUCACUGUUGUCGAGCAGUUCUGGUUCCCUGCCUGCCUUCUGUACUUCCUCGAGGCAACCAUGAUGAAUGUGAUGUGGGCCCCCCCCCGAACGGUUCUCAAGCUUGAACAUGUGUGUGUGUGUGCCCACAAGCGAUGCAUGGAUCUAUUUUUUGGUUUAAAAACUAUUAAAAAUGGCGUUGUGCUGCGUGUGGUGUUCUGCAGCUCCAGGUAGAGGCUCUUCAUGCAGUCACGGAGACCCUGUUUACAUGUUACUUCUCUCGUCCUGCACUUGGACUGUCACCUUGAAUUUGGAUCGUUACAAACAGCACUAAGCGGGUGCUCAUCUCCAUUUAUGAGCGUGUGAAAGUUUCUCACAAGUAUCGCAGUUGUGGGUUUAGGUAUGCUUUCUGUUUGCCCAGAUGUUGGCAGGUUCCUUUCUCACUAGGUGUGUUAUCAGUAUUCUAAUCAGCUCUUGCCAUUUGUGGGACUUUUAAAAUGUCUUGCCGUCUCCUGGUAAGAAAGGAUGUGUUGUUUUAAUCUGCAUGGCUUUGCUAGAUGUAUUUUGGAGAAUCAGAAAAACGAACUGACAGCUUGGAGGUUAAAGGAGAAGGAACUGCAGAAGCCAGAGGUGACUCCUUGGUUUCUGGCUCCUAUGACCGAACGUGGUGCUGCAGCUUCACGAGAAGGGCAAGUCUUGAGAGAAAACUGUUUGGAGGGUCCACUUGUUUCUUUUUUUUUUUUUGGUCCAAGGUGUCAUUAUUUUGCUCUCACUUUUGAAGGACAGUUUCUCUGGGUAUGCAGUUGUGGGUUGGCUGGCUAUUCCUUGCCCUGCUUCGACGUGUGGAGUCACUGCUCUCUGCCUUCCCUCGCUUCUGUUGGGCAGCCGGCUGUAUCAGGCUUGUUUUGUUGAGAGUGCUGUAUCUCUCCCACCACCUUGCGCUGCUUUUUCAGACUUUUCUCUCUGCCUCUGGUUCUUCGUUGUAUCAGGUUUUCGUGCAGUGUCCAGAGGGGGUUUUCUUGGAAUCGGUCCUUAUGGGAAUCGGUGGUGGUGGUUCUUUUUGGUAGGGCAGUGACACGACUUACUCUUAAAUUAGAUUUGGAGAAGUCUUAGCGUCUGUCUCCACGUUUAGUAUUUUGGCUGCAUGUCCUGUCUCUUCUCCUCUGGGACACUGAUUACCUCUUCAUCAUGUCUUUAUAUCUCUUCGACGUUUUUCCUGUCCUUCAUCCUUUCGAUCUCUCCAUGCUUCACUCUGCAUAAUUUUCUCCUGAUCUACAUUCCAGUGCAUUAAUCCUCUCUUCAUCUCUGUCUACUCUGUGUUAAAUUCUUAAUUUCAGCCAUUGCCCUUUUCAGUGUUCUUGAUUUUGUUUUUUAGAUACCAGUUUUCCAUGAAAAACUUUCAUCUUGUCCGUGACUUUCUGUAUUAAUCAGUUAUAGGGGUCUGAUAAACAUUUGGGCAUCCUGUGAAUACAUUCUGUUGUCUGUUUCACCCUUGGUUUUCAAUCAAGAUCCUGUCAAGAGACAGGAUCUUGAUUCUAGAUUGCCUGUUAAGCUUUAAUUAAAUUCUGGAUGAUGGGUAUGAAAAAUGGUAGGGGUAGUUUGGGACUGUCUUCCUCUGGCAGGCAGUUAGGAUAGGGAAAUACCACUUUAAAACCGUGAGGGUCGGUCCCCCUGUGGUUACCCCUCUCCUAGGGUAUGGCUCUUCAGUGGUUCCAGCUGCAAGCUUGGGGUGUUCACCAGCGCCUCUUCUGCUUGGCAGCCCCUGAGUUCUAAUUUGGUCUCCCAGUCCAUCAGACUGCUGGAGAUUCUGCUGACCUCAGGUACUCAACUGCUUGUCUCUGCCUAGCUUCUUGGCCUUUCACUCUGCCUGAAUUGGCAAGUGUCUCGAGGAGGAAACUGCACCUUCUCUCUGGGAUCCUGGCCUCCUGGGUCCUCUGAUACCUUCACACAGUUAGUUCUUACAACGUGCUCAGCUUUUUUAGUUGUUUUUUGGCAGAAGGGUUGUCUGCAACAAGCUGGUCAGGUUUGACUGGAAACAGUCUCAGGACUUCAGUUUUGGUGUUUAAAAUCGGACCUGUUUGUGAGAUGUCCUGGUAGAGAUGGUAGGAAGAUGCUUAGCUGUGUAGUCUGCUAGGAAGAUUUAAACUCAUUUUAAUUCAUGGGAAUGGAUGAGUGAGAUCACUCAGGAGAAAGAGUUGAGAGAGGAGGAAAAUCCCAGGACUGCAGACAUCCCAA